AUGCUUAAUUGCAAAAUUAUAGUGAGCAAUUUAUCAAUAUGUUUUUGGACAGUGAAAAGAAAAUUGCCCAAUCAAUCAUUAUAUUUUACCGGUACUAAAGGCUAUUUGGAGGGAAAUGAGCUAGAGGAGAGUAGUAGACAUCCAGAUUUAUUGAUCUUUGAUCUAGGCUGCAUAGUUGCUGCCACUGACCAUUUCUCUCCGAUCAACAAACUAGGGCAAGGUGGCUUUGGUUCUGUUUUUAAGGGUCAAUUAUCUAAUGGACAACAAGUAGCUAUUAAAAGGCUAUCCAACAGUUCAGCACAAGGAAUAGAGGAAUUCAAAAAUGAAGUUUUGUUGAUUGCAAAACUUCAGCAUAGGAAUCUUGUCAAGCUUUUUGGCUGUUGCAUUCAGGGGGAAGAAAAGAUGUUGAUUUAUGAGUACAUGCCCAACAAAAGCCUGGACUUCUUCAUUUUUGAUCAUACAAGAAGUUCAUUGCUUAAUUGGGGGAAACGCUUUGAAAUCAUCAUUGGGAUUGCUCGUGGGAUUUUGUAUCUUCAUCAAGACUCAAGAUUAAAAAUCAUACAUAGGGAUCUUAAAACUAGUAAUGUUCUCUUAGAUGGUGAGAUGAAUCCUAAAAUUUCGGAUUUUGGGAUAGCUCGUAUAUUCAAUGGGGACCAAAUUCAAGACACGACAACUAGAGUUGUCGGAACAUAUUUUGGUGUCAUAUUGUUGGAGAUCGUUAGUGGCAAGAAGAAUAACAGUUCUUAUCAAAGGCACGAUUCCCUAACUUUGAUAGGGCAUGUUUGGGAACUAUGGAGAGAAGAUAGAGUCUUGGAUAUAGUUGAUUCAUCAAUAAAUGACUCAUUUGUUUCUCUUCCUUCUCCAAAACAACCUGCUUUUAUUUUUAGAAGACCUACCAAUAGUUUGGGAUCAAUAACAGGUGAGCGGUUUUAUUCUAUAAAUGAUGUGACAAUCACCGUGAUAAUUCUUCUCUUCCCAUUUUGCACUUGCCUUGAUACCUUAACACCAGACCAAUCCAUCAAGGAUGACCAAUCUUUGAUUUCCAAAGAAAAUAAUUUUGCCUUAGGCUUCUUCAGCCCUGCAACUCUAGCUAUCGGUAUCUUGGUAUUUGGCACGUCAAAGUGACAAAACAAACUGUCGUGUGGGUUGCAAACAGGAAUGAUCCUAUCAAUGAUUCUUCUGGAGUUCUCUCCAUCAACCAGUUUGGAAACCUUGUCCUCCAUGACAGUUUUAACCGUCUUCUAUGGUCUACAAAUGUUUCUGUCCAAGGGACAACCUCCUCUGUUGCUCAGCUUCAAGAUUCAGGAAACCUGGUAUUGGUCCAGGGCAAUAACAAAAAGGUGUUAUGGCAAAGCUUUGACUAUCCUACAGACACUUUGCUUCCAGGCAUGAGGCUUGGGUUGAAUCGGAUAACUGGGCUAGACAGGUUCUUGACAUCUUGGAAGUCACAAGAUGACUCGGGAACUGGGGACUACUUCUAUAAGAUGAAGCCUUCCGGCUCUCCACAAGUCUCCUUGUAUAAGGGUUCGACCCUGUAUUGGCGGUCAGAUCCAUGGCCAUGGCACAUAUCAUCUUCAUCAUCACCAACAUCGUCAUUAGCCUCAAUGGGUUUUCAGUAUGAUUUUGUUCACAACGAAGAUGAGGUAUCUUACACCUACUUUUUUGAAGACCCCUCUAUCAUUUCUAGACUAGUGAUUGACAACUUAGGAUCGUUCCGGAUACUUAUGUGGAAUAAUGGUGAUCUUCAAUGGAAGGAAUUAUGGUCAAUGCCUAAAUACCGGUGUGACAACUAUGGAUGGUGUGGCGCGUAUUUUAAAUGUGGUCCUGAGUCUACUGAUAUGUUUGAGUGUACAUGUUUGCUAGGGUAUGAACCUAAGUCUCCAAGGGAUUGGUAUCUCAGAGAUGGUUCUGAAGGGUGUGUGAGGAAGCAGUCGAUGUGUGGCAAUGGAGAAGGGUUUGUGAAGGUGAAACGUUUGAAGCUUCCAGAUUCGUUUAUUGCAGCUUGGGUAGACGAGAGUAUGACUAGCUCAGACUCAGAGUGUGAGCAGGCAUGCUUGAGUAAUUGCUCUUGCACUGCUUUUAUCAGCAUGAACAUUGAUGGGAAGGCGACCCGUUGCUUGGUAUGGUAUAGUGAAUUGAUGGACAUUUUGGGGGAUACAAAUGAACGGACAAUUAAGAGAAAAUUGCAUAAUCAAGUAUCAAAUUUUAUUGGCACCAAAGACCUUUUGGAGAAUAAUGAGCUCGAGGACAGUAGUAGACAUCCAGAUUUAUUGAUUUUCGAUUUAAGUUGCGUAAUUGCUGCCACUGACAAUUUCUCUCUAACCAACAAACUUGGGCAAGGUGGUUUUGGCUCCGUUUUUAAGGGUCAAUUAUCUAAUGGACAACAAAUAGCGGUAAAAAGGCUAUCCAAGAGUUCAGGACAAGGAAUAGAAGAAUUCAAAAAUGAAGUUUUGUUGAUUGCAAAACUUCAACAUAGGAAUCUUGUCAAAAUUUUUGGCUGUUGCAUUCAGGAGGAAGAAAAGAUGUUGAUUUAUGAGUACAUGCCCAACAAAAGCUUAGACUCCUUCAUUUUUGAUCAUAAAAGAAGUUCAUUGUUGAAUUGGGGAAACGCUUUGAAAUCAUUAUCGAGAUUUCUCUUGGAAUUUUGUAUCUUCAUCAAGAUUCAAGAUUAAGAAUUAUUCAUAGGGAUCUUAAAACCAGCAAUAUUUUACUAGACGCUGAGCUAAACCCCAAAAUUUCGGAUUUUGGAAUAGCCUAUAUAUUCAAAGGUAAUAAUGGCAUAUGCAAACUUUAACAUUAUCUUUAAUAUUGUCACAUGCAGUGGUUAUAUGUCACCGAAGUAUGUAAUGUUUGGGAAAUUUUCAACCAAAUCAGAUGUCUUUAGUUUUGGUGUCAUAUUGUUGGAGAUCAUAAGUGGGAAGAACAAUAAAUGAGACAUUUGUUUCCCAUGAAGUCUUGAGAUGCAUUCAAAUUGGGCUGUUAUGUGUGCAUGAAAAUGCGAUGGAUCGACCAACAAUGUUAGCAAUUAUUCUCAUGUUGUGUAGUGAGACAACUCUUCUCUCUCCUAAACAACCUGCAUUCAUUUUUAGAAGACCUACCAAUGAUUUGGGAUCAAACACAGGGGGAGGAUCUUAUUCUAUAAAUGACGGUAAAGCUAGCAGAAACAUGGAUGCUGAAAAAAUAGUCAUGUCUUUGAUUCUGAUCAUUCUUUUGUUUCCAUUUUGCACUUCCCUUAACACCUUCACACCAGACCAAUCCAUCAAGGAUGGCCAAUCUUUGAUUUCCAGAGAAAAUAAUUUUGCCUUAGGCUUCUUCAGCCCCAGCAACUCCAGCUAUCGGUAUAUUGGUAUCGGGUAUGUUAAAGUGACAAAACAAACUGUUGUUUGGGUUGCGAACAGGAAUGAUCCUGUCAAAGAUUCCUCUGGAGUUCUCUCCAUCAACCAGUUUGGAAAUCUUGUCCUCCAUGACAGUUUUAACCGUCUUCUUUGGUCUACAAAUGUUUCUGUCCAAGAGACAACCUCCUGUGUUGCUCAGCUUCAAGAUUCAGGAAACCUGGUAUUGAUUCAGGGCAAUAACAAAAAGGUGUUAUGGCAAAGCUUUGACUAUCCUACAGACACUUUGCUUCCAAACAUGAGGCUUGGGUUGAAUCGGAUAAUUGGGCGAGACAGGUUCCUGACAUCUUGGAAGUCAGAAGAUGACCCUGGAACUGGGGACUACUUCUAUAAGAUGAAUCCUACUGGCUCUCCACAGGUCUCCUUAUAUAAGGGUUCGACCCUUUAUUGGCGGUCAGAUCCAUGGCCAUGGAAAACAUCAUCAUCAGCAGCAGCAUCAGUCUCAUCGGUUUUUUAUAACGAUUUUGUUAACAACAAAGAUGAAGUAUCUUACGCAUACUUUUUGGACGACCUCUCCAUCAUUUCUAGACUAGUGGUUGACAACUCUGGAUUGCUCCAAAACCUUAUGUGGAAUGAUGAUGAUCUCCAAUGGAAGGAAUCCUGGUCAGCACGUAAAUACCAGUGUGAUUACUAUGGACACUGUGGUCCAAAUAGUAAAUGUGUUCUUGAUUCGGAUGACAAUUCUAAUAAGUUCGAGUGUACGUGUUUGCCAGGGUAUGAACCCAAGUCACCAAAGGAUUGGUAUCUCAGAGAUGGUUCUGGGGGGUGUGUAAGGAAGCAGCCGGGGUUUUCUAUGUGUGGAAAUGGAGAAGGGUUUGUGAAGUUGACACGUUUGAAGGGUCCAGAUUCAUCCAAUGCAGCGUGGAUGGACAUUAGUAUGAGUAGCUCAGAGUGCGAGAAGGCAUGCUUGAGUAAUUGUUCUUGCACAGCUUUUACCAGCAUGAAUAUUGAUGGGAAGGGGACCCGCUGUUUGGCAUGGUAUGGUGAAUUGAUGGACAUUUCAGAGAAUACAUUAGAACCGUGGGAUCUAAAUGUACGUGUGGAUGCAACGGAGUUAGCUACUUACACUAGGAAGUCCAAAGGUUUUCUUGGCCCCAAGGGGCGGAGGGCUGUUAUAAUUAUAUCUGUUUCUGUGCCAUUGUUUCUGGUGUCCUUGAUAGCCUACAUGUGGCUAAUGAAGAGGAAAAAAAAAGUGAAGAGAAAUUUGCAAAAUCAAUCAUUAUCUUUUAUUGGCACCAAAGACUCUUUGGACGGGAAUGAGCUUGAGGACAAUAGUAGACAUCCUGAUUUAUCAAUUUUCGAUCUAAGUCGCAUAGUUUCUGCCACUGACAAUUUCUCUCCGUCCAACAAACUUGGGCAAGGUGGUUUUGGCUCUGUUUUUAAGGGUCAAUUACCUAAUGGACAACAAAUAGCUGUAAAAAGGCUAUCCAAGAGUUCAGGACAAGGAAUAGAAGAAUUCAAAAAUGAAGUUACUUUGAUUGCAAAACUUCAACAUAGGAAUCUUGUCAAAAUUUUUGGUUGUUGCAUCCAGGAGGAAGAAAAGAUGCUGAUUUAUGAGUACAUGCCCAACAAAAGCUUGGACUCUUUCAUCUUUGAUCCUACAAGAAGUUCAUUGCUAAAUUGGAGGAAACGCUUUGAAAUCAUCGUUGGGAUUGCUCGUGGAAUUUUGUAUCUUCAUCAAGACUCAAGAUUAAGAAUUAUUCAUAGGGAUCUUAAAACCAGCAAUAUUCUACUAGAUGAUGAGAUGAACCCCAAAAUUUCUGAUUUUGGCAUAGCCCGAAUAUUCAAAGGGGACCAGAUCCAAGACAAGACAAACAAAGUUGUUGGAACAUAUGGUUAUAUGUCACCGGAGUAUGCUGUAUUUGGAAAAUUUUCAACAAAAUCAGAUGUCUUUAGUUUUGGUGUCAUAAUGUUGGAGAUCGUAAGUGGCCAGAAGAACAGCAAUUCGUAUCAAGAGCAUACUUCGCUAACUUUGAUCGGGCAUGUUUGGGAACUAUGGAGAGAAGAUAAAGCCAUGGAUAUAGUUGAUUCAUCGCUAAAUGAGUCAUUUGUUUCUCAUGAAGUCUUGAGAUGCAUUCAAGUUGGGCUCUUAUGUGUGCAAGAAGACGCAAUGGAUCGACCAACAAUGUUGGCAGUUCAUCUCAUGCUAAGUAGUGAAAUAACUCUUCCUUCUCCAAAAGAGCCUGCCUUCAUUUUCAGAAGAACAGGCAAUGAUCUAGGAUCAAACACAGGAGAGGGAUCUCACUCUAUAGACCGCGUGACAAUAACUAAGCUUGAAGCUCGCUAA